AGUGAACGCUGGCGGUAGGCCUAACACAUGCAAGUCGAACGGCAGCACAGUAAGAGCUUGCUCUUACGGGUGGCGCGUGGCGGACGGGUGAGGAAUACAUCGGAAUCUACUUUUUCGUGGGGGAUAACGUAGGGAAACUUACGCUAAUACCGCAUACGACCUACGGGUGAAAGCAGGGGAUCUUCGGACCUUGCGCGAUUGAAUGAGCCGAUGUCGGAUUAGCUAGUUGGCGGGGUAAAGGCCCACCAAGGCGACGAUCCGUAGCUGGUCUGAGAGGAUGAUCAGCCACACUGGAACUGAGACACGGUCCAGACUCCUACGGGAGGCAGCAGUGGGGAAUAUUGGACGAUGGGCGCAAGCCUGAUCCAGCCAUACCGCGUGGGUGAAGAAGGCCUUCGGGUUGUAAAGCCCUUUUGUUGGGAAAGAAAAGCAGCAGGUUAAUACCCCGCUGUUCUGACGGUACCCAAAGAAUAAGCACCGGCUAACUUCGUG
rnacentral:rRNA from 1 species